UUUUUUUUUUUUUUUGAUACAGUUUGACUCUGUCACCCAGGAUGAAGUGCAAUGGCAUGAUCUUGGCUUACUGCAACCUCCGCCUCCCGGGUUCAAAUGAUUCUCAUGCCUCAGCUUCCCAAGUAGCUGAGAUUACAGUGGCGCGCCACCAUGCCUGGCUAAUUUUUUUUUGUAUUAUUAGUAGAGAUAGGGUUUCACCAUGUUGGCCAGGCUGGUGUCAAACUCCUGACCUCACGUGAUUGACCCACCUCAGCCUCUGAAAGUGCUGGGAUUACAGGCGUGAGCCACCAUGCCCAGCGUAUUGACUGAAGUUUUCUGUAAGGAAGAGCUGUCCCUUCUCCACCAUUAAUCAAUUCAAUUAUUUAUGUCAUUAUGGACUCCUGGAUAUUGAUAUUAUUCCAUGGGUUACAAAUCAAAAUGAUCAUUAUUUAUAUUGUUGUUCAAGUGAUACCAGCCUUGGCCUCUUAAAAGUUUUAAAUUAUACAAGUAAAAUAUAUCCUCAUUCUAAAAUUUUCAAACACAAAGCAAAACCUCUUUCUCUCCUUAAUCUUCAAUCUUACUUUUCUCUACCUGCCCAUCACCGCUCCCCGGGGUAGGCAAGUCUCUUGCGCUGGCUUGUGCUGUCCUACUUCUUAUUUUGUAAACAUAAAUGGGAUCACAAAACUUAUUUUCUGCAACUUGCAUCUUUCACUCUGUCCUAUGGCUUAGAGCAGUGCUAUUCUAGGUGCGGGCCAUAGACCUUUUCUCCUAGUAAAGGGGGCCUUUAUUUCCAUGUCUGUACUGCUGCCUGCCCCCUGUAGACCCAGGACGCAGCUCAGAGGGGACAGGGGCAGCUGUGGCAGGGGGCUGGGCCCGCUCAGAUGCUCGUCCUCCUAGUGCCAAGGCCCAGGCAGCCUGGUGUCUGUCUGAUGGACCAGGGCCUGGGGAAAAGUGAGGAAAAGCUGGGGAAAGCUGGGCAGGAUAGACUGGAACAGCAGCCAGGACUCCAUGCCCCUGGAGGGCAUCUUUUAGAAAUACCCACAUUUAUAGAUGAAAUAAUGUGGCAUCAGAAAUUGGUCUCAAAUUAAUUUAGAUUGUCUCCUGAUUUUCACUCUUACAUCUCUCCUGUGCUUUCAUGCAGGGUGGGACUGCUGAGGGGAAGGAUUGGGCACUUCUUAUUUUAACAGGCAACUGUUACUCUAUUUUCUGACUAUGGAUUAAGAGGCACUGUGAACUUCAAACAAACAGAGCAGAAGGUGAAGCUGUGAGCUGCCAAAAAGCUUUCCGCUGCUGCAUUGGCCGGGAAUCAAACCCGGGCCUCCCGCGUGGCAGGCGAGAAUUCUACCACUGAACCACCAAUGCUCCAGCUGAGUGCUGUUCUGCCUCCAGCUGUUUUGUUGCUCCGAUUCACAGUGGUGAUGGCACAGCUGUAACCUGACACCUGAGAUGGGUCCAGCAUGGACAGCUGCUGGAUUUUACCAGCCAAACCCAUGGGAGGAGGUGGGGCAUGCAUGCUUGACAUUCUGCUCAGCUGUUCAAAAGAGAAGUCCAUGAAUGGCAAUGGGAGAAUGCUCAGCAAUUCUUUUGGCUCCUGUGGGCAGGUUCCAGACCUUACUCUGUUAUCCUUAAAGAUCUGAGUAGGCUUAGUCUUCCCUAUAAAAAAUUUCUUGACAAAUUAGCUGAAACUGUCAUUCACUUGUUUCUCUUGUUUUAUGGCCUUGUGGGUUAUUCUACUGAAUGCUGUGAUUUCUUUUACCACUGGUUGAUUUGUCUUGUUUUGCUGUCUUGCCUCCUUGACUAGACUGUAAGCCUCUGGAGCACAAGGACUUUGUCUGGUAAACACAACUUGAUGUAUAACAGAUGUUUGCUAAAUGUUAGAUUUGUAAUAAAUGGAAUUUAA
rnacentral:lncRNA from 1 species